rnacentral:rRNA from 1 species
AACGAACGCUGGCGGCAUGCCUAAUACAUGCAAGUCGAACGAGAACUUCGGGUCUAGUGGCGCACGGGUGCGUAACGCGUGGGAACCUGCCCUUAGGUUCGGAAUAACUCCCCGAAAGGGGUGCUAAUACCGGAUAAUGUCAUCGGACCAAAGAUUUAUCGCCUUUGGAUGGGCCCGCGUUGGAUUAGCUAGUUGGUAGUGUAAAAGCCUACCAAGGCGACGAUCCAUAGCUGGUCUGAGAGGAUGAUCAGCCACACUGGGACUGAGACACGGCCCAGAAUCCUACGGGAGGCAGCAGUGGGGAGUAUUGGACGAUGGGCGAAAGCCUGGUCCAGCAAUGCCGCGUGUGUGAUGAAGGCCUUAGGGUUGUAAAGCUCUUUUACCCGGGAUGAUAAUGACAGUACCGGGAGAAUAAGCUCCGGCUAACUCCGUG